rnacentral:rRNA from 1 species
UACGGAGGGGGCUAGCGUUAUUCGGAAUUACUGGGCGUAAAGCGCACGUAGGCGGCUUUGUAAGUCAGAGGUGAAAGCCCGGAGCUCAACUCCGGAAUUGCCUUUGAGACUGCAUCGCUUGAAUCCAGGAGAGGUGAGUGGAAUUCCGAGUGUAGAGGUGAAAUUCGUAGAUAUUCGGAAGAACACCAGUGGCGAAGGCGGCUCACUGGACUGGUAUUGACGCUGAGGUGCGAAAGCGUGGGGAGCAAACAGG